rnacentral:rRNA from 1 species
UGUUAUCCAUAGUUUAAAACAGAAGUUCCUCUUAACUAAACAUUUGGUUGUCAAAGAGAAAUAAAUAGGCGGUGUCUGAGAUAGAAAACAGGGGAUCCUGGGUGUUAAAGGAUAGCCCACCUACAUUUGAGCCUUGUCUUAUUAGUGCGUGUGUAUGGUUGUUUACUCUAAUAUGGUGAGUGUCCGGGUAAAAAUUUUGGUUAUUGCUAAAGUUAGGGUUUAUUUUAUUGGUUAAGUCUGGUAAAAUAAGUUAGCUUUAGUUAGAUGCAGCUAGUAGAAGGGGUUUAUCCUCCUUUGUAGCACAGCUUCAAAAAUAAUUCAGAUUGACAUGCAGCUUAUGAUAAGGUUAAUCUGGGAUACAGUUGCAGCUUAAGCAAUAGUUUUAAAUUUAAACUAUUAAGUAGUAUAAAUAAUCUAACGAAUAAGGUAAGAAAACUUGACUUUGAAGAAGGACUUGUAAGUAAGGGUUGAAAAUAAAACCGCCCUGAAUACAAUCAGAUGAGUACUAAUCGCCCGUCGCUCGCGGGGAAACCUGUGAA